GCCAGAGGAAACUCUGGUGGAGGCUCGCAGCGGUUCUGACGUGCAAAUCGAUCGUCAAAUUUGGGUAUAGGGGCGAAAGACUAAUCGAACCAUCUAGUAGCUGGUUCCCUCCGAAGUUUCCCUCAGGAUAGCUGGAGUUGCACAGUUUUAUCAGGUAAAGCGAAUGAUUAGAGGAAUUGGGGACAGGUUUGUCCUUGACCUAUUCUCAAACUUUAAAUGGGUAAGAGCCAGGGGUUGCUUCGGUGAACCCCUCGGUCGAAUCGCGGUUGCAUGUGGGCCACCCGGGGUAAGCUCGGUUGGCGAUGCGGGAUGAUCCGAACGUUGAGUUAAAGUGCCCCACUACCCGCUCACCUAGAUCCCACAAAAGGUGUUGCUUCAUUUAGACAGCAGGACGGUGGUCAUGGAAGUCGAAAUCCGCUAAGGAGUGUGUAACAACUCACCUGCCGAAUGGACUAGCCCCGAAAAUGGAUGGCGCUCAAGCGGGUGACUGAUACCCAACCACUGUUGUAAACAAAAUCAAUGUGUAGGAGGGCAUGGUGGCUUGUGACACAGCCUUUGGUGAAAACCUAGGUGCAACAGCUUCUAGUGCAGAUCUUGGUGGUAGUAGCAAAUAUUCAA
rnacentral:rRNA from 1 species